UAUAUUUAUAGAAAAUUUGAUAACCAAUUUUAAAUGAGUACUAAUUUAUGUAGACUACACAAUGCAUUAUUAUUUAAGAAUGUGGUAUGAAACUAUAUUUCAACAGGACAAUCAAUUGGAUUCACCAUGUGGAAAUGCUUUGAUUUUACAACCAGAAGACCUGGGAUUGAAUCUCACCUUGGAAAAAUUAUUUGAGAAUCAGUCUGGAUUAUUUGUCUCCUUCCUCUAUAUUCCAGCUGACUUUGUCUGGUAUACUCGAGAUAUAAUAGGUGAUAGGAAUGGCACUAUUAUUAGCAAAUGAUAGAACUGAUAUUAAGAAAAUUUAAUCAU
rnacentral:lncRNA from 1 species